UCCUACGGGAGGCAGCAGUGGGGAAUAUUGGACAAUGGGCGAAAGCCUGAUCCAGCAACGCCGCGUGAGGGAUGACGGCCUUCGGGUUGUAAACCUCUUUCAGCAGGGACGAAGCGAAAGUGACGGUACCUGCAGAAGAAGCACCGGCCAACUACGUGCCAGCAGCCGCGGUAAUACGUAGGGUGCAAGCGUUGUCCGGAAUUAUUGGGCGUAAAGGGCUCGUAGGCGGUCCAUCACGUCGGGAGUGAAAAGCUGGGGCUUAACCCCAGUCCUGCUUCCGAUACGGGUGGACUAGAGGUAGGCAGGGGAGAACGGAAUUCCUGGUGUAGCGGUGAAAUGCGCAGAUAUCAGGAGGAACACCGGUGGCGAAGGCGGUUCUCUGGGCCUUACCUGACGCUGAGGAGCGAAAGCGUGGGGAGCAAACAGGAUUAGAUACCCUGGUAGUCCACGCCGUAAACGUUGGGCGCUAGGUGUGGGGGACAUUCCACGUCCUCCGUGCCGCAGCUAACGCAUUAAGCGCCCCGCCUGGGGAGUACGGCCGCAAGGCUAAAACUCAAAGGAAUUGACGGA
rnacentral:rRNA from 1 species